rnacentral:rRNA from 1 species
UUAAGUGACGAAGCGUACACGGUGGAUGCCCUGGCAGUCAGAGGCGAUGAAGGGCGUGCUAAUCUGCGAUAAGCGUCGGUAAGGUGAUAUGAACCGUUAUACCCGACGAUACCCGAAUGGGGAAACCCGGUGCAAUCCGUUGCAUCAUCGCAACAUGAAUACAUAGUGUUGCGAGGCGAACCGGGGGAACUGAAACAUCUAAGUACCCCGAGGAAAAGAAAUCAACCGAGAUUCCCCCAGUAGCGGCGAGCGAACGGGGAGGAGCCCGGAACCAUCAUCAGCGGUUGCGUCAGUGGAAGCGUCUGGAAAGUCGCACGAUACAGGGUGAAAGUCCCGUACACGAAGAUGCAGCCGUUGUGAGUUCGAAGAGUAGGGCGGGACACGUGGUAUCCUGUCUGAAUAUGGGGGGACCAUCCUCCAAGGCUAAAUACUCCUGACUGACCGAUAGUGAACCAGUACCGUGAGGGAAAGGCGAAAAGAACCCCGGCGAGGGGAGUGAAACAGAACCUGAAACCGUGUACGUACAAGCAGUGGGAGCCUCAUUUAUGGGGUGACUGCGUACCUUUUGUAUAAUGGGUCAGCGACUUGUAUUCUGUAGCAAGGUUAACCGUAUAGGGGAGCCGAAGGGAAACCGAGUCUUAACCGGGCGUUAAGUUGCAGGGUACAGACCCGAAACCCGGUGAUCUAGCCAUGGGCAGGUUGAAGGUUGGGUAACACUAACUGGAGGACCGAACCGACUGAUGUUGAAAAAUCAGCGGAUGACCUGUGGCUGGGGGUGAAAGGCCAAUCAAACCGGGAGAUAGCUGGUUCUCCCCGAAAGCUAUUUAGGUAGCGCCUCGUGAACUCAUCUCCGGGGGUAGAGCACUGUUUCGGCUAGGGGGCCAUCCCGGCUUACCAACCCGAUGCAAACUGCGAAUACCGGAGAAUGUUAUCACGGGAGACACACGGCGGGUGCUAACGUCCGUCGUGAAGAGGGAAACAACCCAGACCGCCAGCUAAGGUCCCAAAGUCAUGGUUAAGUGGGAAACGAUGUGGGAAGGCCCAGACAGCCAGGAUGUUGGCUUAGAAGCAGCCAUCAUUUAAAGAAAGCGUAAUAGCUCACUGGUCGAGUCGGCCUGCGCGGAAGAUGUAACGGGGCUAAACCAUGCACCGAAGCUGCGGCAGCGACGCGAAUGCGUUGUUGGGUAGGGGAGCGUUCUGUAAGCCGUCGAAGGUGGACUGUGAGGUCUGCUGGAGGUAUCAGAAGUGCGAAUGCUGACAUAAGUAACGAUAAAGCGGGUGAAAAGCCCGCUCGCCGGAAGACCAAGGGUUCCUGUCCAACGUUAAUCGGGGCAGGGUGAGUCGACCCCUAAGGCGAGGCCGAAAGGCGUAGUCGAUGGGAAACAGGUUAAUAUUCCUGUACUCGGUGUUACUGCGAAGGGGGGACGGAGAAGGCUAUGUUGGCCGGGCGACGGUAGUCCCGGUUUAAGCGUGUAGGUGUGUGUUCCAGGCAAAUCCGGUUCACUUUACACUGAGGCGUGAUGACGAGGCACCACGGUGCUGAAGCAACAAAUGCCCUGCUUCCAGGAAAAGCCUCUAAGCAUCAGGUAACACAGAAUCGUACCCCAAACCGACACAGGUGGUCAGGUAGAGAAUACCAAGGCGCUUGAGAGAACCCGGGUGAAGGAACUAGGCAAAAUGGUGCCGUAACUUCGGGAGAAGGCACGCUGGUGCGUAGGUGAAGUCACUUGCUGACGGAGCUGAAGCCAGUCGAAGAUACCAGCUGGCUGCAACUGUUUAUUAAAAACACAGCACUGUGCAAACACGAAAGUGGACGUAUACGGUGUGACGCCUGCCCGGUGCCGGAAGGUUAAUUGAUGAGGUUAUCCGUAAGGAGAAGCUUUUGAUCGAAGCCCCGGUAAACGGCGGCCGUAACUAUAACGGUCCUAAGGUAGCGAAAUUCCUUGUCGGGUAAGUUCCGACCUGCACGAAUGGCGUAAUGAUGGCCAGGCUGUCUCCACCCGGGACUCAGUGAAAUUGAACUCGCUGUGAAGAUGCAGUGUACCCGCGGCAAGACGGAAAGACCCCGUGAACCUUUACUACAGCUUGACACUGAACACUGAGCCUUGAUGUGCAGGAUAGGUGGGAGGCUUUGAAGCGUGGACGCCAGUCUGCGCGGAGCCAUCCUUGAAAUACCACCCUUUAAUGUUUGGUGUUCUAACCUUGCGCCGUGAUCCGGCGCGGGGACAGUGUCUGGUGGUAGUUUGACUGACGUAUGGGACAUCCCAUUCUGCCAUUAACGGAGAAAGGUUAAGUAAAACAGUGGUUCUUUCCAGAAAAGCACCUAUCCUGCACAUCAAGGCUCAGUGUUCAGUGUCAAGCUGUAGUAAAGGUUCACGGGGUCUUUCCGUCUUGCCGCGGGUACACUGCAUCUUCACAGCGAGUUCAAUUUCACUGAGUCCCGGGUGGAGACAGCCUGGCCAUCAUUACGCCAUUCGUGCAGGUCGGAACUUACCCGACAAGGAAUUUCGCUACCUUAGGACCGUUAUAGUUACGGCCGCCGUUUACCGGGGCUUCGAUCAAAGCUUCUCCUUACGGAUAACCUCAUCAAUUAACCUUCCGGCACCGGGCAGGCGUCACACCGUAUACGUCCACUUUCGUGUUUGCACAGUGCUGUGUUUUUAAUAAACAGUUGCAGCCAGCUGGUAUCUUCGACUGGCUUCAGCUCCGUCAGCAAGUGACUUCACCUACGCACCAGCGUGCCUUCUCCCGAAGUUACGGCACCAUUUUGCCUAGUUCCUUCACCCGGGUUCUCUCAAGCGCCUUGGUAUUCUCUACCUGACCACCUGUGUCGGUUUGGGGUACGAUUCUGUGUUACCUGAUGCUUAGAGGCUUUUCCUG